rnacentral:rRNA from 1 species
AGUGAACGCUGGCGGUAGGCCUAACACAUGCAAGUCGAACGGCAGCACAGUAAGAGCUUGCUCUUACGGGUGGCGAGUGGCGGACGGGUGAGGAAUACAUCGGAAUCUACUUUUUCGUGGGGGAUAACGUAGGGAAACUUACGCUAAUACCGCAUACGACCUACGGGUGAAAGCAGGGGAUCUUCGGACCUUUCGCGAUUGAAUGAGCCGAUGUCGGAUUAGCUAGUUGGCGGGGUAAAGGCCCACCAAGGCGACGAUCCGUAGCUGGUCUGAGAGGAUGAUCAGCCACACUGGAACUGAGACACGGUCCAGACUCCUACGGGAGGCAGCAGUGGGGAAUAUUGGACAAUGGGCGCAAGCGUGAUCCAGCCAUACCGCGUGGGUGAAGAAGGCCUUCGGGUUGUAAAGCCCUUUUGUUGGGAAAGAAAAGCAGCAGGUUAAUACCCCGCUGUUAUGACGGUACCCAAAGAAUAAGCACCGGCUAACUUCGUG